rnacentral:lncRNA from 1 species
AAAGAUCUCAGUUCCUCAAGCCUACCUAAUGCACAGCACUCAGCACCCUACUCCUAAUGGAACAAACACUGCUCUCAAUUCUGCCUUUCAUUCUGGAAGUUAUUAAAUGUCCAUCACAGACCAGAAUUCACUGAAAUUGCACAAAGCCGCACAAAUCCAAACAACAUCUUAAUGGAGUGAAAAUUAUAUUGUACUUCCCAAGAAUCCUAAC